UGACUUGUCUAUGGUGCUCAAUGAUCAAAUCAGACAAUGAAACAUGCUAAUAUCAAAGAUGGAAAGCAUAUAGCAAGAUAAAUUUAAAUGUGUUCUUUCAGACAACCUAACAAGCUUCUUCUACAAUCACUUCUACCUAGAAGCUUCAGUUGCAAUCUAAAUCCAUACAAAAUUGUAUUCUUACAGAGAGAUCCUUCAAACAAUGGAGCUACCUCCUAUCUGCAAGAUGAUGGCUCUGAAUUAUGGGAGGCAUUUUGAAUUUGUUCUUUGUUAAGUUGAUGUUUUGCAUUAUGAUGUAGACAACAAUGUAAUAUGCAGUGUAUUGUGAGUGUUGAUAUCUAUUAUUAAUUAUUAUUUUUUA